AACGAACGCUGGCGGCAUGCCUAACACAUGCAAGUCGAACGAGACCUUCGGGUCUAGUGGCGCACGGGUGCGUAACGCGUGGGAACCUGCCCUUAGGUUCGGAAUAACUCCCGGAAAGGGGUGCUAAUACCGGAUAAUGUCUUCGGACCAAAGAUUUAUCGCCUUUGGAUGGGCCCGCGUUGGCUUAGCUAGUUGGUAGGGUAAAAGCCUACCAAGGCGACGAUCCAUAGCUGGUCUGAGAGGAUGAUCAGCCACACUGGGACUGAGACACGGCCCAGACUCCUACGGGAGGCAGCAGUGGGGAAUAUUGGACAAUGGGCGAAAGCCUGAUCCAGCAAUGCCGCGUGAGUGAUGAAGGCCUUAGGGUUGUAAAGCUCUUUUACCCGGGAUGAUAAUGACAUUACCGGGAGAAUAAGCUCCGGCUAACUCCGUG
rnacentral:rRNA from 1 species